AGCCUGAAGCGGGGGAAAAAAGAAUGUCUGAGGUUAAAAGGUGCAGUGAAAGGCUGUGGAGAGGAGACGCUCUAGAGUGCUGUGGGAGAGCAGCUCUCGCUCCUGACUUCCAGGGCAAGGAGGAACAUCUGGGGAAUCACAGGCCCAACAGCCUCACCUGAGCAGCUGGGAAGGUGAUGGAAGAACUAAUCCUGGAGAGCACUGCCAAACACAGGAAGGACAAGGCUUUGCAAUCUUUGUGCACCAGCUUACCUUUGCACCUUUUCUGCACAGCAGUGACACGAUAUUCAUGUGACCUGCAGCAGCUGCGUAACUAAGGGCUGUCAUGCCGUUUUCUGAAGUUCCAUCAAUAGCAGCUCCAAACUCUAGUAAAAGAGUGACCACUUCUUCGUGUCCAAGGUGCGACUGAACACACAGCACUGGAGCAUUAUUCAGUACUUCAGUCCUGUAAUUCACAUUUGCUCCUGCCAAAAUCAGCAGCCGACUCACCUAAAAUUUAAUUUAAACAAAACAAUGUUUUCCUCAGAUUUGUCUGAAUUUGGUACCUUGAUCAGGUACUCAUUUGUUACUCCCUAAUUUUGAUGCAGAUUUUACUGGCAGACAUCAACGUUAACACACAGAUAGCAACAUACCAGUUUAAAAUCUUCUCUGAGUAAAUAUAAUAUUGUAUUACUGACCACUGCACUCCCAAGAAAAGACUUGUCUCUCCCCUGAAACUCACUGCUCUCAUCACAAUCACGUGUAACUUGCUACUACUCUGCAACUACCUCUGUUAAGAGAGAACCAGACUGCAUAAAAAGCAAAUCUCAAAAAAAAACGGCCAGAGCAUGGAUGUGUGUGUUCAUGUACACACAAAUUUCCAAUCAAAAGCCUUAGCAGUUGGCUCAAAUUCCAACUGACUGACUUGGAUUUUGCUACCCAUCAUCUGGGGAUUCAAAUAAUAGCGCAAAGUUGUGGUAUUUUAAAUCCUUUCCUCUCACAGUAUUCCCCCUUUUACAGCUGACACUUUCCCAUAGAAGCAAAGAGCAGUGAGCUCUGCCCAGCAAGGCCAUGUGGGACAUCCACCCUCAAAAAUGCACCAAACACACUCACCUGUGCUACAGAGCACAGCUGCAGCAGAAAAAAGGCAAAACGCUUCUUUCCAUCAAAACUAUCGAGGAAAACUGAUUUCAACUUUAGCAACACCUUACAAAAGUACACAAAGGAGUUCAGGUCCAGAUGCUUUUCUGCUGAAGGGUUACACUGACUUCAGCAUUCACCAGCCAAGUGCCAGCAGCAGUGCCAGACAAACAGCUGACUACAGCCGUGCUGAUGCUCUUACCUUCACGUUGGGUGUGUAGAUGUUUCUUAGAGAAGCCAGGGCUGUAGACAGUCCAUCAGUACUAUAGCCAAUCCACAAGGCUUGGAGAUGACUGGAAGAAAUUCCGGUCCUUUUACUGAGACCCUAACAGAAAUGAUAUAACAGGAAAUCUCUCUAUAGAAUUAGAAAUCCUAUUUUAAUCUACAACUCAAUAUUAAAAAGCAGUAAAAUCUGGAUUGAUAGCACUACCAAGUAUUUUGCAUAAGCUUCAAACAAAUUAUUCAAGCAAGUCAGAGGAGAAUAUCUACAAUGCAUUCAGAUGAUAAAGGUCAUAAAGCCUACUAAGCUGCAAGCUUUACCUUAAAAAUGUGAGCUUUAAGUAUAUGAUGGCCAAGUUCCAUGGUUUGUUGGCGGUUUAACUUUCCCUCCUGUCGAGAAAACAUGAAAGCCAGUAGAGCAUGUCCAUUCCUAAUAAAAAGGAUUGAGAGAACCACUUUUAUAACUGUAUUUCAGUAAAUAUUCUAACACAUCUUUAUUCCUAACAGCUCAACUUUGUCAGACUAUUGAAACAUACCAUCACAUCUAAACAGAAUUCUUUCCAUAACAAAAUAAUGCAAAAUUAAAAAUGGCAAAUUUUGAAUAUGAAACACACUCCUGGUAUUUCUGUGCUGUCCCUUCAGAAGGGGCCUGUGUCAGCCUUGAACUGGUUUACAUACUGCUCCUUUUUGCAUUCUCAGAGCCAGGAACUGCAGGCAUCUCAGACAAAAGCCAAUCCUUUUAGAAGCAUAAGAUCUGAAUACUUGAAAAAUUUGAGAUGAAAUGUGUAUUUAGUAAUUCUACACCUACAUUAUAGGUGGUCAAUGUUCUAGGAAACAGUGAGAGUGGCAUAACCUUGAGAAAACAAGGUUACCAUAUACUAUUUGUUAAUCAGACUAUACAUUGGAACCGGGCAAUUAGCCAUAUGCUAACUGGACUCUCCACCUGAGGGGGGAAGUUGUGGGAAGGGACUUCUCACCCCAUUGUCAGACAUUUCUGAACAAAACCUUCCGAAAUCAGAAGCUCUACCUGGGCCCAGGCAGCCCCCACUGCUGCUGGGGCAAGUGCCAGGAGUUCCCAGCGUGGCGGGACCAGGGGUCCAUGAGGCUGCAACCCCCCAGUCCCACCUACAGAACUGGUUCUGUUACAGCCACUUGGAAAGCUCUUGGAAAGUCUUGGGUUAGUAAUAAUUUUAAAUGUCACCAUUAUUUAUUCUUCUGUAAAAACCAAAAACUGUAAACCCCAAAGAACAUGAAAAAAAAAUACUGGGGAGCCAACUGUGAGGACAUGACAAACAGGAACAGCCACUGUCUCCAACUCAACCAACUCCUGCUCUCCAAGUCACAGAAAGUGAGCUGGAAUAAGCUGAAACAAUGCCAGCAGGAUAUAAUUACAGCACAAAAUGUCUUAAUAUUUUUAUGUUUAAAAAAGCCCAAACAAUCUGCUCCUUCUAUUCCUGCACUCUACGUUACAUAGACAAGGUGCUGCUGCACGGGAUUCUCAACAAUUUUGCUGUAUUAGUAACAAUAUAGCACUCUCAUUUCUCCAUGAAGGUAGCAGAGUCAGAUGCAAACUUCUGACUUCUAUAGAGUCAAUUAUGCAUUGUAAACUUUGAAUCUUGAGUCACAUCUACCCCUAAAUAUAUAAAAGUGUUCAUUUUGGAAAAAAUUAUUUGUACUUGUAUUUAACAUUACUCUUUCCUCUCACCAAUUGUUGCAAUCAAUUAUACAAAACCUAACUUUGGUUAUUUGAACAUGAAUUACUGCAGUUUUUAUUUACCUUGGCUCACAUAAGAAGUCAGUAUUUUCACCUUCUGCUCUCCAGACAAGCCAUUCCCUGAAGGAAGGAUGGCAGAACAUGCGUGUUUUGUCACGUCUUUUGAUCAGAAAACACGAAAGGGCUUCCAUCCUCUGGCUGAAGUCUUCCCAUUGUUGUUCACCAUUUAUUUGUCCUGCAUUAAUAGCCUGGAAAAUCUGGUCAUCUGUCAUAGGAUGCAGGGAUGCCAGUGCCACAUUCAGUAUGGGCUGAGCUCGCUCAAAAGCAGAGUUUGUCAUGAACUUCAUAUUGCACUGCAGUAAGUACAGCUCUGACAGAGACACAGGAACAACUUUGUAGCUUGCACUUUUGAUUACUAAAUGACCUUUUUGGAAAAGAUCCAGAGUGAGUUUCAAAUAGAGGUAAGAUCCCAGGCUUCUCAUGAUCAGGUGGUUACUCACUUUCCCAAUAGUAGCUGCAUCAGCUUUUCCAUUUAAAGACAUGUUGUUUAUAAUUUCCUGACUGUUAUUAAUUCUGUACUGAAUAUAAGCAUUCAAAUCAUUGUGAAUUUCUUUGUUGUCUGGAAAAUUGUCCAGGGAUAUUGCGAUAAAUGGUAGUGAACUUACCACUUCCUGUGAGGGAGAGAGGGGGG